rnacentral:rRNA from 1 species
CUCCUACGGGAGGCAGCAGUGAGGAAUAUUGGUCAAUGGGCGAGAGCUGAACCAGCCAAGUCGCGUGCAGGGAAGAAUGGUCUAUGGCCUGUAAACCUCUUUUGUCAAGGAAGAAUAAGGAUGACGAGUCAUUCGAUGCCAGUACUUGACGAAUAAGCAUCGGCUAACUCCGUGCCAGCAGCCGCGGUAAUACGGGGGAUGCGAGCGUUAUCCGGAUUUAUUGGGUUUAAAGGGCGCGUAGGCGGGACGUCAAGUCAGCGGUAAAAGACUGCAGCUAAACUGUAGCACGCCGUUGAAACUGGCGCCCUCGAGACGAGACGAGGGAGGCGGAACAAGUGAAGUAGCGGUGAAAUGCAUAGAUAUCACUUGGAACCCCGAUAGCGAAGGCAGCUUCCCAGGCUCGUUCUGACGCUGAUGCGCGAGAGCGUGGGUAGCGAACAGGAUUAGAUACCCUGGUAGUCCACGCCGUAAACGAUGCUCACUGGAUCUUGGCGAUACACUGCCAGGGUUCAAGCGAAAGUAUUAAGUGAGCCACCUGGGGAGUACGUCGGCAACGAUGAAACUCAAAGGAAUUGACGGGGGCCCGCACAAGCGGAGGAACAUGUGGUUUAAUUCGAUGAUACGCGAGGAACCUUACCCGGGUUUAAAUGUAGAUUGCAUGAGGUGGAAACACUUCUUCCCUUCGGGGCUAUUUACAAGGUGCUGCAUGGUUGUCGUCAGCUCGUGCCGUGAGGUGUCGGGUUAAGUCCCAUAACGAGCGCAACCCCUAUCGCCAGUUGCCAUCGGUUCAAGCCGGGCACUCUGUCGAGACUGCCACCGUAAGGUGCGAGGAAGGCGGGGAUGACGUCAAAUCAGCACGGCCCUUACACCCGGGGCGACACACGUGUUACAAUGGCCGGUACAGAGGGCAGCCACGGGGUGACCCGGAGCGAAUCUCUAAAGCCGGUCGUAGUUCGGACUGGAGUCUGCAACCCGACUCCACGAAGUUGGAUUCGCUAGUAAUCGCGCAUCAGCCAUGGCGCGGUGAAUACGUUCCCGGGCCUUGUACACACCGC